rnacentral:ncRNA from 1 species
CAAAGGCAUGGUCCAGACCUUACUAUCAGCUAUAACCCCACUUACACAUGCAAGUAUCCGCAUCCCAGUGAAUUAUGCCCUCAACUCCAAAUCAGGAGACGAGGGGCAGGUAUCAGGCACAUAUAUUAGCCCAAGACGCCAAGCCAAGGCCACACCCCCAAGGGAAUUCAGCAGUGAUUAACAUUAAAUUAUAAGUGAAAACUUGAUUUAGUUAGGGCUAAAAGAGCCGGUAAAACUCGUGCCAGCCACCGCGGUUAGACGAGAGGCCCUAGUUGAUAUAUCACCGGCGUAAAGGGUGGUUAGGAAAUAUAAAUAAUAAAGUCAAAUGGCCCCUUAGCCGUUAUACGCUUCUAGACGUCCGAAGUCCAAUUUAUACGAAAGUAACUUUAAUUAAACAUGCCCGACCCCACGAAAGCUGAGAAACAAACUGGGAUUAGAUACCCCACUAUGCUCAGCCAUAAACUCAAACAUCAGACCACAAUAAGAUGUUCGCCAGGGUAUUACGAGCACUAGCUUAAAACCCAAAGGACCUGACGGUGUCUCAGAUCCACCUAGAGGAGCCUGUUCUAUAAUCGAUAACCCCCGCUUAACCUCACCACUUUUAGUCAUCCCAGUCUAUAUACCGCCGUCGUAAGCUUACCCUGUGAGGGAAAUAUAGUAAGCAAAAUGAGUAUAACCCAAAACGUCAGGUCAAGGUGUAGCGCAUGAAGUGGAAAGAAAUGGGCUACAUUUUCUAUCACAGAAUACUACGAAUAGCUACCAUGAAAUUUAAUGCUUGAAGGAGGAUUUAGCAGUAAAAAGGAAACAUAGUGUCCUUUUGAAGCCGGCUCUGAGACGCGUACACACCGCCCGUCACUCUCUCCAUUUUAAACACAAUUAUUAACUAAUACACAUAACACUUAAAUCUUUAAGGGGAGAAAAGUCGUAACACGGUAAGUGUACCGGAAGGUGCACUUGGAUCAAACC